rnacentral:lncRNA from 1 species
UUUUUUCGUACCACGGCGAGGCCGGAUUCCUGUUUUAUCAUGAAUAUUCAUUAGGCAGGGUCGGGGAAAGUCUCGAUUCUCUUAAAUAUUCAUAUCGAGGUGGGAAUGCACGACGCGCGCUAUACUCGCACAAAGUGAGAAGAUUUAGUUCACGGAGAAUGCAUAUGGAUUGAAACUGAAGAGCUGGAAGGAGGACAUUACAACAUCUCUUAUAUUUGCAAGAUGAAGCAGAAAGUCCCAUGCAGGAUGAUGCCUCUCUACAGUGGAUGAUGAAGGCAUUCUGGUUUGCAAACUCAGGAGAGGAACAAAGAACAGAUGUUGACGGGAUCAUAUCUAGAGAUGCGGGCCUACUACACUUCAUACGAGCAAGUGUGCUAAUAUACAUGAAGACUUGGGUUAUAUUUUUUUCUGAAAACUAGGCUACAACUUUAGUGAUGGAUGCAGAAGAUAUCUACACGAGACUACGUCUUAAAGAUGCCACCCUCAUAUAAUGAAAGAGGACAAUAGAGAUGGGUUUAAACUGGAAUAUUUACAUGAUAUUUAUUUGUUAUUUGUAUUAUA